UGGAGGUUGCAGUGAGCUGAGAUCGCACCAUUGCACUCCAGCCUGGGCAACAAGCAAAACUCCAUCUCAAACAAACAAAGAAAGAAACAAAAUAUUAUGAAAGAACAACCAGAUAAGCUGGUAAUUCAUUGGAUGCAGAGAGAAAAUUUAUAUAUCGAGACUUUUUGACUUACAAUGGAGUUAUGUCCCAAUAAACUCUUGUAACUUGAAGAUAUCAUUAAGUCAAAAUGCAUUUGGGCCAGGUGCAGUGAUUUACAUCUGUAACCCCACCACUUUGGGAGGCCAAGGUGGGAGGAUUGCUUGAGGUCAGGAGUCCGAGACCAGCACCAGUCUGGGCAACAUAGGAAGUCUCUACAAAAAAAAAAAGAAAAAAAAAAAAAAAGCUGGGCAUGGUGGCACGUGCCUGUAGUGCCAGCUACUCAGGAGGCUGAGGUGGGAGGAUCACUUGAACAGAGGAGGUUGAGGCUACAGUGAGCUGUGAUCACAUCACUACACUCCAGCCCAGGUGACAGAGCAAGAUCCUGGCUGGUGGGGGAAAAAAGCAUUUGGCUGGGCACAGUAGCUCACUCUUGUAAUCCCAGCACUUUGGCAGACAGAGGUGGAGGAUUGCUUAAGGCCAGGAGUUCAUGACCAGCCUGGGCAAUGUGAGACCCCAUCUCUAUUUUUAAAAAAUGUUUUUAUUUUAUUUUUUUCUUUUUUGAGAUGGAGUCUCACUCUGUUGCCCAGGCUGGAGUACAGGGGCAUGAUUUUGGCUCACUGCAACCUCCGCCUCCCGGGUUCAAGCAAUUCUCCUGUCUCAGCCUCCCGAGUAGCUGGGACUACAGGCACCCGCACCAUGCCCAGCUAAAUUUUGUAUUUUCAGUAGAGAUGGGGUUUCACCAUAUUGGUCAGGCUGAUCUCGAACUCCUGACCUCAGGUGAUCCACCCGCCUCGGCCUCCCAAAGUGUUGGGAUUACAGAUGUGAGCCACCGCGCCCAGCAAAAAAUAUUUUUAAAAAGAUGCGUUUAAUACAGCUAACCACCGAACAUCACAGCUUAGCCUAGCCUACCUUAGUGUGCUCAGAACGCUUACAUUAGGCUACAGGUGGGCAACAUCAUCUGGCAAUGCGGUACACUGUCGAAAAUCAGUUGUUUACUCUCAUGAUUUCAUGGCUGCCUGGAAGCUGCAGCUCACUGCCUCUGCCCAGCAUCAAGAGAGACCAUGAUACAGCUUUCCACUGAAUGUGUAUAGCAACCAUAGAGUGAACAAUCUACUGGUGUGGCACUAGGUCCCCGGGGCAGCUGAACUUC
rnacentral:lncRNA from 1 species